GGUGGGGUGACUGCGUACCUUUUGUAUAAUGGGUCAGCGACUUAUAUUCUGUAGCAAGGUUAACCGAAUAGGGGAGCCGGAGGGAAACCGAGUCUUAAUUGGGCGUUAAGUUGCAGGGUAUAGACCCGAAACCCGGUGAUCUAGCCAUGGGCAGGUUGAAGGUUGGGUAACACUAACUGGAGGACCGAACCGACUAAUGUUGAAAAAUUAGCGGAUGACCUGUGGCU
rnacentral:rRNA from 2 species